rnacentral:ncRNA from 1 species
UAUCUGGAGAGUGGUCUGUUUUAACGCAGCAGGCCCACCGAAGGAGAAAGCUGCCAAGGCUUGGUGGUCAAGCUCUCAGGUCACGCGACAGAUGGGG